CGCUGGCGGAAUGCUUAACACAUGCAAGUCGUGCGGUAACACUUCGGGUGACGAGCGGCGGACGGGUGCGUAACGCGUGAGAAUCUACCGUUUUAGUGGGGGACAACUCGGGGGAAACUCGAGCUAAUACCGCAUAUGUUCUAAGGAAUAAAGCAGGGGACCUUCGGGCCUUGCGCUAAAAGAUGAGCUCGCGUGAGAUUAGCUUGUUGGUGAGGUAAUGGCUCACCAAGGCGACGAUCUCUAGCUGGUCUGAGAGGAUGAUCAGCCACACUGGGACUGAGACACGGCCCAGACUCCUACGGGAGGCAGCAGUGGGGAAUAUUGGACAAUGGGGGCAACCCUGAUCCAGCAAUUCCGCGUGUGUGAAGAAGGCCUGCGGGUUGUAAAGCACUUUCAGUAGCCAGGAUGGGAUUAUUCAUUAAUACUGGAUAGUCUUGACAUUAACUACAGAAGAAGCACCGGCUAACUCCGUG
rnacentral:rRNA from 1 species